rnacentral:rRNA from 1 species
GAUGAACGCUGGCGGCGUGCCUAAUACAUGCAAGUCGAGCGAACAGACGAGGAGCUUGCUCCUCUGACGUUAGCGGCGGACGGGUGAGUAACACGUGGAUAACCUACCUAUAAGACUGGGAUAACUUCGGGAAACCGGAGCUAAUACCGGAUAACAUGUUGAACCGCAUGGUUCAACAGUGAAAGACGGUCUUGCUGUCACUUAUAGAUGGAUCCGCGCCGCAUUAGCUAGUUGGUAAGGUAACGGCUUACCAAGGCAACGAUGCGUAGCCGACCUGAGAGGGUGAUCGGCCACACUGGAACUGAGACACGGUCCAGACUCCUACGGGAGGCAGCAGUAGGGAAUCUUCCGAAAUGGGCGAAAGCCUGACGGAGCAACGCCGCGUGAGUGAUGAAGGUCUUCGGAUCGUAAAACUCUGUUAUUAGGGAAGAACAAAUGUGUAAGUAACUAUGCACGUCUUGACGGUACCUAAUCAGAAAGCCACGGCUAACUACGUG